rnacentral:rRNA from 1 species
AUUGAACGGUGGCGGCAGGCCUAACACAUGCAAGUCGAGCGGUAACAGAGAUUAGCUUGCUAAUCUGCUGACGAGCGGCGGACGGGUGAGUAAUGCAUAGGAAGUUGCCCAGUAGAGGGGGAUACCAGUUGGAAACGACUGUUAAUACCGCAUGAUCUCUUUGGAGCAAAGCAGGGGACCUUCGGGCCUUGCGCUACUGGAUACGCCUAUGUGGGAUUAGCUAGUUGGUGAGGUAAUGGCUCACCAAGGCGACGAUCCCUAGCUGGUCUGAGAGGAUGAUCAGCCACACUGGGACUGAGACACGGCCCAGACUCCUACGGGAGGCAGCAGUGGGGAAUAUUGCACAAUGGGCGAAAGCCUGAUGCAGCCAUGCCGCGUGUAUGAAGAAGGCCUUCGGGUUGUAAAGUACUUUCAGUUGUGAGGAAGGUUGUGUAGUUAAUAGCUGCAUAAUUUGACGUUAGCAACAGAAGAAGCACCGGCUAACUCCGUG